rnacentral:rRNA from 1 species
AGUGAACGCUGGCGGUAGGCCUAACACAUGCAAGUCGAACGGCAGCACAGUAAGAGCUUGCUCUUACGGGUGGCGAGUGGCGGACGGGUGAGGUAUACAUCGGAAUCUACUUUUUCGUGGGGGAUAAAGUAGGGAAACUUACGCUAAUACCGCAUACGACCUACGGGUGAAAGCAGGGGAUCUUCGGACCUUGCGCGAUUGAAUGAGCCGAUGUCGGAUUAGCUAGUUGGCGGGGUAAAGGCCCACCAAGGCGACGAUCCGUAGCUGGUCUGAGAGGAUGAUCAGCCACACUGGGACUGAGACACGGUCCAGACUCCUACGGGAGGCAGCAGUGGGGAAUAUUGGACGAUGGGCGGAAGCCUGAUCCAGCCACACCGCGUGGGUGAAGAAGGCCUUCGGGUUGUAAAGCCCUUUUGUUGGGAAAGAAAAGCAUCAGGUGAAUACCCCGCUGUUCUGACGGUAGCCAAAGAAUAAGCACCGGCUAACUUCGUG